UACGUAGGGUGCAAGCGUUGUCCGGAAUUAUUGGGCAUAAAGAGCUCGUAGGCGGUCUGUCGCGUCUGCUGUGAAAACUCAGGGCUUAACCCUGAGCUUGCAGUGGGUACGGGCAGACUAGAGUUCGGUAGGGGAGACUGGAAUUCCUGGUGUAGCGGUGAAAUGCGCAGAUAUCAGGAGGAACACCGGUGGCGAAGGCGGGUCUCUGGGCCGAAACUGACGCUGAGGAGCGAAAGCGUGGGGAGCAAACAGG
rnacentral:rRNA from 1 species